rnacentral:lncRNA from 1 species
AUUAGGGACUAGGGGUGGGGAUGAUGAAGGCAGGGGCUGCUCCUGUAGCUGAGAUCUGGGGUUGACCUUCGGAGUCAGUGUGAGGAGGUCAGAGAAUGACCGAUUUGGGUUUUAGCCUACUAACUGAUCACUGAGAGCAACCCCAUGAACAUGCUAAGCAGGAUUAAAUUUAUCAGUGUUGGGACAGCUCUGUGGAGUAGCUGGAGCCAUCCCUGCGUUUGCCGCCGGGGUUAGGGGAGAAAGAACUGCAAAGAGAGGUUCCUAUAAACCUUGCAUUCCUGAGAGUGGCUGCAUGUAAGCCCUUCCCAGCAGAGGUUGCUGACUAUCCCAAGGACUAUUCUAGUGCAGUGUGAGUGGAAGAAAGACCUUCAUUCUGGAGGAUGCUCUGCUUGGCCUGGAUGCUGCCCAUCAGAAGCCCCAGCAAGACUGUUUUCAGCAGGAAUUCCCCAGGUUUGAUGACAUCAUUCUGCUCGCUGUCCCAGUACUGAGUGUCCUCCAAGCCUCACUUUUCCCCCUGCGGUCCGGCAGAGAAUGGUGGCGUCACCCUAGAGCGAGGAUUUGCAGACCAACUGGAGUGUCUCCUUCCUGAGCAUUCAGCCUACAAUCCCAAGGGACUGAGUUGGCUCCAGUGCAGUAUACAUGGAAGUGGUACUUGCUCUUUGGGGCUUGGCCUCAGAACUAUCCUGGCUCAGGCAAUGUGGGCAGGAGAGAAAAGGCCAGAGGGAUGGUUCUCAGGAGAACACAGUAUGAAGUUGCUUACCUGCAGUCAACAAAAUGUCCUCAGACAUCCACUUCGGGGUGUAUUCCACUGCUACUGUGUAUGCAUUCAGCGAGGCAUCUUAUCUAUGUGACCAUUCAGAUACUAUACACAGGUUCAUACCAAGAAUAUGCUAAGGCAACUGACUAUAUAUACUGUGUCAACUACAUAGCUCUUGAAAGUGUAUGAUUUAGUAACUUCCUAAUCACGAUAUCUUAUAAAGAGCAGUGUGAUUUUAAAUUUACUGUUUUAAUUAAUUGUCCAGUGUUUAAAAAAAUGAACUGAAGCCUGACUGAUUGUAUAAUUUUAAUAUUUGAAAAUGUACACAAAUAAACUCAACACAAUACAGAUUUAUACAAAAGAAGGACUUCUAAAAACUUAUACAGAAAAAAUAAAUAAUAGGUUUUUAAAAAAAGGACAAGACAUUUUAUAAAUACUAAUAAAUACUGUGCAAUGCUUUAAUUUACUAUGGCAGAUAGAAAAACUCAAGAAAUCAUUAAUAGGUUGUAUAUUUAAAAAGCUACAUGAAUUUUCUAGCUGAUUAAAAUAAAAUGUAACAGUAGUAGUUUUUACUUUUAAAAUGAGGUAUUAUUACAUUGUAAACCAAAACAGAGCAUAAAUAUAUGGUUUAGCAAUUAAUGGUUAUCAACUUCAACUUAAUAAAAGACAACAAAAAUUCCCAUUAUUUAUGGACUUUUGUCACCUAAAAUUUGGCUUGCCUGUGUACUUGCAAAAGUGACAUAGCUACCAAUACACACACAUCGUUAGACAUGCAGACCAAACCAAUACUAUUUCCAUGAGUCAUCCCUAACAAAUAAAAACUUUGUUUACAUUUUACUGAAAACACUUAAAUCUGGUUUCCUAUACAUAAUUCUUUGUGCUUGUUAGUAGGAACCUACAUUAAACAUUUCUACGCAGUGCAAGAGAGAAGCAGUUUUAUUUGCAUAUGGAUUAAAGACAAUAUACACACCAAACCAACUGUACCUUUAGCUGUCUUAGGCUUCCCACGAUUUAAAGAACAACUACCCUUCUGGUAAACUCACAUGGGAAAGUAGUCAUUUGCAGUCUCAAGCGUUACAGGAAGGAAGCUGGGUUUUCUAACACGGGUGGGUGGGCUUCGGAACUAUAGGACGCUGAUGAGUUACUGCACCCUUGAAUUCUGCUGGUUGGGUGCAGAAAGCACAGCGACAAGGAAAUGCCUAGCUCAGGGGAGCCUCGGGCCAAGUAUGAUUUGCACAUGGGCCAUAAGCUGGUACUAAAUGCUGGUUUCAUUCUUAUUGCAAAUGUCACUUCAGAGUUUUCUGAAGAAAAACUAUCAAAGAAUAAUUCUUGAGAUGAAAAUAUUUGUGACAUGCUAAUAAAACUGCUUCACUAUAAAUUAAAACAAAACAAAACAAAACAAAACAAAAAUCCCUGGGGCUUAAAAAUACAGUUUUUACAUGCUAUUUUAUUAUAAAUAGAAAACAAGGAUACUUUUGGAUUUACUAUAUUUAGAAUCCAGUGAAAAACACACAUUUUAGCCAAAAUGUCAAACUUCUUUUUUAUAUCAAGCUACAUCAUUUUGACAUAAAUGUUUUUAAUUGUAUUUCACUUUUGUCAAAUAUCCUACAUUUUCCAAAAAUUAGUGUUUUCAUAUAACUGGUGAUCAAAAAUUGUAGAUAUAAGCAGUACAUCAAAAUAUAUAAAAUAGCAGGGCUUCUUUUGUGCUUGUAAUUAUUUUAAGUAAUCAAUGACUAGUUUGGUCUAGUUUGCUCUACUAUAUUGAUUUUUAAGAAGAAAUAACCAUUAUACAAACAUUACAGAAUACUCAAGUAACCAAUUUACUGUCAGUGGGCAUGCAGACUAACAAUACUUAAAAGAAUAUAACCUUGAAUCCAAUUGGUCUGAAAAUACUCUUGUACAAUCAUCUUUGUUGAUUUGUAAAAGCUGUACACACAUCUAAAACCCUAAAUUUACUUUGUAAAAAUAAAUCUUUAGCAAUAAAUGGCACUAUCAAAAUCCCAU